rnacentral:rRNA from 1 species
ACUGGGCGUAAAGCGCGCGUAGGUGGUUCAGCAAGUUGGAUGUGAAAUCCCCGGGCUCAACCUGGGAACUGCAUCCAAAACUACUGAGCUAGAGUACGGUAGAGGGUGGUGGAAUUUCCUGUGUAGCGGUGAAAUGCGUAGAUAUAGGAAGGAACACCAGUGGCGAAGGCGACCACCUGGACUGAUACUGACACUGAGGUGCGAAAGCGUGGGGAGCAAACAGGAUUAGAUACCCUUGUA